rnacentral:lncRNA from 1 species
AUCACGCGUCUAAAAUUGGAAAUCUCAACCCUUCAUCCCAUCAAAACAACCCUAUAUAUAAUAGUGGGUAUGUUUUCCCUAAUUUCAAUUCAAUUUCACCCCUUUCAAUCUACCACGUAUCAAGAAUUAGGUUUUCAAAGAAGAAGGACGCGAUCUUAUUGAGGACCUAGUAUCAGGCUAUGGUGAGAUCGAGCAAAGAAGAGCCUACUACAGUAAGAUUCAAAGAAGGCCAUGACGAGACUAUCGAGCAACUUCUGGUUCGUAGCACUGGAACCAGGUAUCCCAACCCCAGACCUGAUCGGGUAUGGUAAUCUACAAUUGAAAGCGCUACUUCCGUAGUCUAUGGUCCCGCUAAGGCAUUCAUGGCCCUAACUCUGCUCUGGACAGUUUCUUGUUCUCUCUAUUUAAGAUCUACUCGCCAAUCGUGCUUUUCCUACGAAUUGGUGCGAUUACUUUGCGAUUCGACUUUUUUCUUGCUUACGUCCUUUCACUCUUACGUGUUCGUGUUUUAUUUUUUUUCCAGGAUUUGAAGCCCGGUGUCACCGUUCAGAGGUGUCAUGAUCGUGUUCUUGUUGAUUGUUUUGUGAAGGCUCGGUGAAUAUAGCGCGGAUCGCGAGAACAAGAUUAGGCCGGUGCAGCGGUUCAUUCUUGCCGUUCCUUUGUGGUGUUCUUGGCAUUCGGAUUUCAAGAAUGAUACUAGGGUUUUUGAGGGGAAAUCUUCGGUGUAAAUGGUAGAAUGAAUAUUUGGGGAUGAAGUGGUUGUCGAGAACUUUGUCUACCGACCUUUGCCAUGACAGGUGCGCUUGCAUGGCAGGUCAAAAAAAUUAAUAAAAAAAAGAUUAUUUGUGGGUUUUGAGGGAGAACGUACGGGAAUUCCCGGGUUCUCCCUCUGGUGUGGGGUGUGGUGCCGUGUUUGAUGUGUUCCUUUUCCUUCCUUCGCCCUUUCUUUUAUAUCUUUCUUUUCCUCGCUCUCACUCCUUGCCAUGGAUACACCACCACUGGACUCGCUUCGCCUUCCAUCUAACGACAUUCAUCUAACGAGGUAUCGUAUAAAUCUAAUUUUUCAUUUACAAUAACGCCUUUCCUUUUUCGCAACAUAGUCAAUAUACAAAUAACAACGACAAAAUGAAUACAAUUGCAAACAUUAAUUAAUUGAAUUAAGGAAUUCGUAUAUGAGAAAUGAAUCACAUGUAGUUUAUCUUUCCACAUGGUGAAUUAGUAAUUGAAGUGAUAUUAUCAUGUAAAUUCUAAUAUAACAGCUUGGAUGAUAGAUUCGUAACAGCAACAUUGAUCCUUCGGUCGACUUCUAUAAUAACUUUAGUCAAGAGACGAUACUUCAAUUGAUUGAGAUUUUUCCCACUGUAAACUUAAAUUCUUCUUCAUCUUUAAAUUUUGCAACGCUAUUACUACGAGUAUCAUUUUCGGUUGAGUUCUUAUAAUUAUUUGUAACCCAAAAUUUUUUGUCCUUGACUUUAGCAUUUCAAUUUCCGACAUGCAUAGAUUUUUCUGUAGAUAUACUCGUUCGUAUGAAGUCUUUGCAGCCUGAAGGGUAUAAACGGCACCGUUAGCAGUGAUCUUCCUCAGCUUGACUGGAAAGAAUUACAAGGUUUCAAGUCUACAAAUUCAAGAAACGUUUCAAAUAUGUACUUAAUCAUUAAUUUUUGGAGGUAGCCUCCUCAAAUUUUAUUUAAUAAAGUGUCAUAUUCACGGUUUUCAGUCUAUGGAAUAAUUCCGUAUUGGCCUUUGGUAUAUUUUGUCAAAUUAUGUUGGUGAUCAAUCAUUUUAUAUAUGUUUUAUGGAUUGAGUGGUUUUACAGCAGUAAAACAAUAGUUAUGUCUAUAAAAAAAUUCUUUAUGAGCAUUGACUUUUGAUUUUAUUGAGUUUUUUUUUGUGUGAUCCAACAAUGAAUUGAAAGAUUUUGGUCAUAAUGAAUGAAGUUUUAUAGAAGAGACAUUGCUAAUAGUAAAAGAACUUGUUAUCAUUUGUAUAAAUUGUAAACCAUAGUGUGAAUGAUAUGAUAAUGACAUGAACCUGAAAUAUGAAAUAGAUAAUCAUAUAUUUCCUUUUGAUUCACUCAAACUAUCUCAACUGUAAUGCAUUUCAAUUCAUUUAAACAAUCAUAUAGUUCCGUUUUGUUGAACCACUUUUAGAGUUUAGUACAAUUUUACUAUAAUUCAAUUCUGUUCAGUCAGUUUGACCACCCCUAGUGUUAACUAGAUGAAUAUACUAGUGUUAACUGACUAACUUCUUUCAAUUUAUUAUCUGUACUGAGAAACUUUUAGGCAUGUUUUAAAUUUGAUAUUACAUUGGUUAUAGUGGGAUAGGUGAUGUUAUGUAUUCCGCUUAUUGUCUUAUGGUCACUUAACACAAUAAGACACUUCAUCUUUGUUUGACACCAUUUUUAGGAGAUGAAAGCCACCAUUUUGGCAAUUGUUUUGCAAUGAUGAAUGGGGAUUUUUUUAUUAACUUUCUUACCAUAUCUUUAUGUUGUAUUUGUUUGUAUAGUUUGUUAAAGUACUGGUUGCAGCCGGAAGGGUGUGAACAGUGUUUCAUGUAUUGCAGUGAUCUUCCUUGGCUUGACUGGAAAGAAUUGCGAGGUUUCAGGUCUACAAAAGACUUUUCAAAUAUAUGUACUUAAGCAUCAAGGUUUCAGGUCUACAAAAUCCUUAUUCAAAGAAAUGUUUCAAAUAUAUGUACUUAAUCAUCAAUAUUUGGUUGUAGCCUCCUCAAAUUUUAUUUAAUAAAGUGCCAUAUUCAAGGUUUUCAGUCUAUGGAAUAAUUAUGUAUUGGCCUUUGGUUUAUUUUGUCAAAUUAUGUUGGUGAUCAAUCACUUUAUAUGUUUUUUGGAUGGAGUGUGAUUGCCGCAGUAAAAAAAAAUACGUAUGUCUAUAAAAAUUCUUUUAUGAGGAUUGACUUUUGAUUUUAUUGAGUUAUUUUGUGUGAUCCAUCCAACAGUGGAUUGAAAGAUUUUGGUCAUUAAUGA